AGUCGAACGAUGAACCUCCUUCGGGAGGGGAUUAGUGGCGAACGGGUGAGUAACACGUGGGCAAUCUGCCCUGCACUCUGGGACAAGCCCUGGAAACGGGGUCUAAUACCGGAUACGACCAUCGGGGGCAUCCCCGGUGGUGGAAAGCUCCGGCGGUGCAGGAUGAGCCCGCGGCCUAUCAGCUUGUUGGUGGGGUGACGGCCUACCAAGGCGACGACGGGUAGCCGGCCUGAGAGGGCGACCGGCCACACUGGGACUGAGACACGGCCCAGACUCCUACGGGAGGCAGCAGUGGGGAAUAUUGCACAAUGGGCGAAAGCCUGAUGCAGCGACGCCGCGUGAGGGAUGACGGCCUUCGGGUUGUAAACCUCUUUCAGCAGGGAAGAAGCGAAAGUGACGGUACCUGCAGAAGAAGCGCCGGCUAACUACGUGCCAGCAGCCGCGGUAAUACGUAGGGCGCGAGCGUUGUCCGGAAUUAUUGGGCGUAAAGAGCUCGUAGGCGGCUUGUCGCGUCGGUUGUGAAAGCCCGGGGCUUAACCCCGGGUCUGCAGUCGAUACGGGCAGGCUAGAGUUCGGUAGGGGAGAUCGGAAUUCCUGGUGUAGCGGUGAAAUGCGCAGAUAUCAGGAGGAACACCGGUGGCGAAGGCGGAUCUCUGGGCCGAUACUGACGCUGAGGAGCGAAAGCGUGGGGAGCGAACAGGAUUAGAUACCCUGGUAGUCCACGCCGUAAACGUUGGGCACUAGGUGUGGGCGACAUUCCACGUCGUCCGUGCCGCAGCUAACGCAUUAAGUGCCCCGCCUGGGGA
rnacentral:rRNA from 1 species